rnacentral:rRNA from 1 species
CCUACGGGAGGCAGCAGUGGGGAAUAUUGGGCAAUGGGCGCAAGCCUGACCCAGCAACGCCGCGUGAGGGAAGAAGGCUUUCGGGUUGUAAACUUCUUUUAAGAGGGAAGAGCAGAAGACGGUACCUCUUGAAUAAGCUACGGCUAACUACGUGCCAGCAGCCGCGGUAAUACGGAGGGGGCAAGCGUUGUCCGGAUUUACUGGGUGUAAAGGGCGUGCAGCCGGGAAGACAAGUCGGAUGUGAAAUCCCGGGGCUCAACCGGGGAACUGCAUUUGAAACUGGUUUUCUUGAGUACCGGAGAGGGGAUCAGAAUUCCAGGUGUAGCGGUGAAAUGCGUAGAGAUAAGGAAGAAUACCAGUGGCGAAGGCGGAUGACUGGACGGCGACUGACGGUGAGGCGCGAAAGCGUGGGGAGCAAACAGGAUUAGAUACCCGGGUAGUC